CCUCAGUGCUGGGCUGGGAGGGGCCAGGGGAGGGGUGGGGUCACAGAUAGGGACCCGGACCCCGCCCUCCGCCUUCCCAGCGCUCCGGGGCUGCGCGGGCCGGACGCAGGAUGUGAAGUGAGGUGUUUUGGUCUUUUGGGCUUCAGAAGUUCGGAAGAGGAAGACAGAUGACUGUGCAGUGUGGCAGUUGCUCCUUGGGCACUUACAGCAGCUUGUUAGAGUGAGGACAGAAGACUUCAUAGCACAGAGGGAACCUGUGACACUGGCUUUAUAUCACACGAUGGUAAAUACCCAGCACAUCCGCCCAGGCUGAGGACCUACAACUCUGAAUUUCUGGCCUGCCUCCUUCCAGCGAGAAGUGAAUCUAGAUUUACAUGCCAUCAGAAACAAGCAUCAUCUUCCUGCUCCGUGAGUUCCUAGUUUUAGAAGGUUCUGCUUUCAUCCUGGAAUAUCAAUCCACACACACAAGGUCCCUCUCUGUGGAGGAGUAGGUACUUAAACCUAAGAUAAGUGGAAACUUUAUAUCCAAGAAGACAGAAAAUAAAAUUUCAGUAUAUUUUAUAUUAAACAGCUUCUUAUGCUUCUAUCCUUUUAUGAACAGAAGGUCAUCAGUAGGCCAAAAGUCUGAAAAACAGUCUCAGUUCCUCAAUGUGAGUGCAAACCAUUAGUGCAAAAAAUAAUUAAAUUAAAAAAUGAAAGGACAGAUACUUUCUAGCCUUGUUCUCUUAUAGCCCCAUAUUCUUAGGGCUGACCAUUCUCCAUCCAUACCCACGCCAUUCCCAAAGGACAUUAUCUGUGAAUGGUGGCCACAUGUGUGGAUGUUACAGAACACGCACGUUCUCAGUAUUUCACAGACAUAAUCAUGCAGCCAGUAUGCACACUGGAAGUCAGCAAAGUGUCUCCCUGGUUGCCUGGGUAGCUGACACUCAAUUCUUCAUAGUCAAUUGAGCCAUUUCUUAGCUCCUAGAAGGGUAAAAUGGGACAUGCAUUUAUUAGAAGUAUGACUUUAAGACACUAGAAAGUCUGAGAUGAUGGAACUCUGCCAAGCAAUCGAGAAAUCCUGUGAUGGUUGAUUUUAGGUGUCAACUUGACUGGAUCAAGGGACACACAGAUAGCUGGUAGCGCAUGAUUUCUGGGUGUCUGUGAGGGCGUUUCUGGAAGAGACUGGCGUUUGAAGCAAUGGACUGAGUAAGGAAGAUCUGCUCUCAUACAAUGUGGGUGGCACCAUCUAAUUGGCUGAUGGCCCAGAUAGAACAAAAAGGCAGAGGAGAGACAAAUUCUUUCUCUCUCUUCUGGAGCUGGGGCACCCUUCUUCUGCUUUUGGAAGCAGAAUUCCAAGUUCUUCAGCUUUUGAACUCCAGGACCUGAACCGGUGGCUCCCCAGGUUCUCAGACCUGCUGUCUUGGACUGAGAGUAACACCAUCAGUUUCCCUAAUUCUGAGACCUUUAGCUGGGAUGGAACCACACUACCAGCUUCCCUGGGUCUCUGGCUCGCAGAUGCCUGUCAUGGCACUUCUCAGUUUCCGAAUUGUGUGAGCUGAUUCCCCUAAUCAAUCCCCUCAUCUCUAUCCCUCCAUCCAUUCAUCCAUCCAUCCAUGUUUUGUCUCUCCGAAAAACUAUAAAUCCAUCCUGAAAAUACCAACUAUAGUCAUGUAUUACAUAACAUGUUUCAGUUAACAACUAACAUGUUUCAGUUAACAUAUAUGACAACGGUCCCAUAAGAUUACCCUAUUUUUGCUUUUUAAUGUUUAGAUAUGUUUACGUACACGUACUUCCCCUUGUGUUGCAAUUACCUACACUUUUCAGUUUGAUCACAUGCUGGACAGGCUAUAUAGGUUUGCAGCCUAGGAGCAAGAGGCCACACCAUAUAGCAUACAUAUGUAGUAGGCUAUACCAUGUAGGUUUGGUAAGUACACUUUGAUGUUCAGAAAAUGGUGAAAUUGGCUGGGUGCAGUGGCUCACACCUGUAAUCCCAGCACUUUGGGAGGCUGAGGCAGGUGGAUCAUGAGGUCAGGAAUUUGAGACCAGCCCAACCAACAUGGGGAAACCCCAUCUCUACUAAAAAUACAAAAAUUAGCCAGGCAUGGUGGUGUGCGCCUGUAAUCUCAGCUACUCAGAAGGCUGAGGCAGGAGAAUCACUUGAACCCAGGAGGUGGAGGUUGCAAUGAGCCAAGAUCGCGCCACUGUACUCCAGCCUGGGCAACAGAGUGAGACUCCAUCUCAGGAAAAAAAGAAAACAAAUCACCAAAGGAUGUAUUUCUCAGAAUGUAUCUCCGUUAAGUGACACACGAGUGUGCUUGUGUGUGUUAAGGGCAAUCAAAAAUGUCACUGGGGCUUUAUCAAAGGCAGUAUUAUCUUAUAUGGACUCUUGGUCCUACUGAAUAUUUUUGUCCUCUUCUUUGCCCACCAUCCACCCCCAUAAACAUUACCCACAUUGCAGCCAGGGCAAACAUUUAGAAACUGAAAUCUGAUUUAUGAUCCCUUGUUAAGACACCCCAAUAAAAGGCUUUUCAGGCUGAGUUGGUGGCUCAUGCCUGUAAUCCCAGCAAUUUGGGAGGUUGAGGCAGGUGAAUUGCUUGAGCCCAGAAGUUUGAGACUAGCCUGAGCAACAAAUUGAGACCCCCGUUGCUACCAAAAAAGAAAUAGCCAUGUGUGGUGGCACAGUGCCUGUACCAUCAUGACUACUCAGGAAGCUGAGGCAGGAAGAUCGCUUGAACUUGGGAGAUCAAGAUUGCUGUGAGCUGUGGUCCCUCCACUGCACUCCAGCCUGGGUGACAGAACAAGACCUAGUCGCAAAAUAAAAAUAAAAAUAAUAAUAAUAAAGGCUCCCCAAUCACUUAGAACAACAUCCAGACAUUUUCCUAUGUUCUAGAAGGUUCUAGGGGAUUUGUCCCUGCCUACCUCUUCUGCCUCACACAUGUUUCCCGCUUGUUCAUGAGCAUAUCUGAGUCUGAUCUAGCCUAUGGGACUUUACACUUGCAGUUUCCUCUGCCUGAAAUGCUCUGUGCUCUUGGCCUGGCUUUCUUGUUGCUAUGGCUUAAAUAUUUUUCCUCUCCAAAAUGCACGUUGAAACCUAAUCCCCAAUGUUGCAGUAUGGAGAGGUGGGGCUUUUCAGAGGCGUUUGGAUUAUGAGGGCUCUGCCCUCAUCCGUGGAUUAAUCCAUUCAUGAAUUAAUGCAUUACCCUGGGAACGGGACUGGUGGCUUUGCAAGAAGAGGAAGACAGCUGAGCUAGCACAGGCAGGAACCUUGCCACGCGAUACCCUGAGCCGCCUUGAAACUGCAGAGACCCUAGGUGCAGCCCCUUGACCUUGGAAUUCUCAGCCUCCGUAACUGUAAGAAAUAUUUUUCUUUACAGAUUUCCCAGUUUUGGGUAUUCAGUUAUUAGCAAGAGAAGACAAAGAUACUUGUCAUUUUAAGUAUCUGUUCAAGUGAUACUACCUCGUAGAGCUGUACCUGACCACAUGGUCUAAAGGGCUCCUCCCCCUUUUCAUGCUAUAUGCAUCUUGCUUUUUAUUCCCACACCCUCAGAUUACCCAUUUACAUGUUAAUUGUUGUUCCUCAUUCUAGAAGAUAAGUGGAGGAACUUUGUCAACUUCCCUGCUAUGUCUCUACUACCUUCCAGAGUACUUGACGCAAAGUAGGUGCUCAAUAAAUAUUUGUUGAAUGACUGGAGAUACUUUGUUUCUGCAUUUAAGAGACAGUAUUGCACAAGGGAGAAAUUGGGGACUUAACCUCUCUUGGGAAGGAUGGGAAAGCCCUGCCUCUCAUUAGUUGUUUAAUUACUUCAAAGUGUGGGAUUUCAGGCAGAUUAGCAAUCUUUCGUAUUCCAGUUGUCACAGCUAAAUGCUCGUGGGCCUAAUCACAGCACCUGUGAUUCUUAAACUGAUCACUGAUGUCUGGUUUUCCUGUAGGAUUAGCAGAGGAAGAAGGCAUCUGCAGACUAUCACCAUUGGCAUCUUUUGAGAUUUUUAAUUAACGGAGUAUUUUUUUUUCUUUCUCAUUCAUGGUCAGGGUUUUGAUUAAAUUGUAAGUGGAAAUCUUGUCAUGUCAAAGAGGUUGAAGGAGGGUGCUUGGGGUAGAUGAGAGAUGUCAGGUCUGCCCUUCGUCGCUGAUGAAGAAUUGGUGGUGCACCAGCUGGCGCCUCCCUGUCCGCAGCGGGCCACCCCCCACGUGGCAGGGAUGGGUAUGCACCACAAUUACAGUUAUUGGCUGCAGUGGAUAAUUGGACUUGCUGAGACCUCUCUGCUUACCAGACAUUUCUUUCUGUCUGCCGUGCCUUUGUGAACAUGGGGGUCCCCAAGUUUUCAGCGGGCGAAGCCAGCAGGCAACAGCUCACACUGGCAUUUUUGUCAGUCAGGCACCUUCAUCUUGGCAUUCCAGCUUCUAUCCAGGCUGCCUCAGCGCUUCUGAAUGAUGAACACGGCCUGCGAAUAGUUCAUCCACAGAGCUGGCUUGGCAGGCGAAGGCUUCUCAGCCCCACCGAGCAGGGGGCUAGAUCUCACUGCUCUCCUUUCAGUGGCCCCAGGUGCAGCCUUCACUUCUUACCUCCACCAGAUUUGGGGUUUUCAGAGCUAACUGCGGUUUCGGGAAAAGUUCUGUGUUUGGACAAAGCUUUGCAAUAAGGCAGAUCUGGGUUUGAAUCUUAUCAAUGUACUUAAUCCUCGAAACCUCAAUUUUAUCUGUAAAAUAAAGAUGAUAAUCAGGA